AUACGGAGGAUCCGGGCGUUAUCCGGAUUUAUUGGGUUUAAAGGGUGCGCAGGCGGCCAUUUAAGUCAGCGGUUAAAUCGUGGGGCUCAACCCCAUUCUGCCGUUGAUACUGGGUGGCUUGAUUGCGGUCGAGGUUGGCGGAAUUCGUUGUGUAGCGGUGAAAUGCAUAGAUAUGACGAAGAACACCGAUUGCGUAGGCAGCUGACCAGACCGCAAAUGACGCUCAUGCACGAAAGUGCGGGGAUCGAACAGGAUUAGAUACCCUGGUAGUCCGCACAGUAAACGAUGAAUACUUGUUUUCGGCGAUAUAAUGUCGGAGGCAAAGCGAAAGCGAUAAGUAUUCCACCUGGGGAGUACGCCGGCAACGGUGAAACUCAAAGGAAUUGACGGGG
rnacentral:rRNA from 1 species